rnacentral:lncRNA from 1 species
GCCCUGCUGAACUGUAGAAUUUUAAUGUUUUGUUUCAUAGAUCACCGGAGUACUACUACAUUCUUAUCUUUACUCUUUCCUAUCGGGUAGUGAAACUUGAGUUUGAAAUUAGAAAGAUUUAAAAUUGUGCACGAUCUUUUGUGAGUUUAUGUUGUUCAAGGUAAUUUUCGGUGCAGUUAUUUUCUUUUCAUUUGUUAUUUUUUUCCUCUGUGUUACACGACCUUGUACUUUUUGUAUUACCCCUUGACAUCUCCUGCUUCUGUUUAAACCUUUUCCACCAAUAUAUUUUAUUUAAAACAUAUGUCAUCUGUUUUAAAUAAAAAUAGUCUCAUUCCCGGAAUUUGUUAUACAGUUAUUCAUUUUAAUAUCAGCUUUUUUAUAAGCAUAUAAACUGCUUGGUCUCUUCACACAACUUAUGUUUAGGACGGAAUGCAGAAAUAGGUACAUACAUGUACCAGGUUAUGGAUAUAUAAGUACAUGUUAUGUGCUUUUGACCUUCACACGAAUUCUUAAACAUUCAUAGAUGUGCAAAGAAUAUUGUUGUCGUUGGGUUGUUGUCUCAUUGACAUAUAUACCUCACAUUUCUGUUUAGUCAUAGCAUCUGUGCCUUUUCAAUUUAUUGCAGAAAAUAUUAGCAUAAACAUUUUUUUCAAAACAGGAGAGGUGAAAUAGUGAUCACAGAAUGAGAACAUGUUAUAUUAUAAAGAAGAAAACUGAAACAGAUAAAUAUAAAUAAGCACCAUUGACAAUUUGUUAAAGGACUGAAACAAACAUAGAUGGUGACCAAUGUGAGCGACUAGUGUACAGUAGUAGAGUGGACAUUUCUUGCUUCUUUUUCUACACAUUUUGUCAUUUCAUGUAAACAAUUAAAUAUGUUACUUUCCAUGGAGAGGAAGGAAUUUGUGAAACGAAAUAUUUUGCUAUUUAGUACUGUCAAGAUAUAUCACAGGGG